rnacentral:rRNA from 1 species
GGGAACCCCUUGGACUUAGUGUCUUUGCCGACAAAACCUACAUAAAAAUGGAUAAGUUGAACACCAAAAUUAUCUCUCUCAUAGAUGAGAGUAAUUACAUCAAUUAUGAGGUUGUCAAAGCAACACAAGAAUUAUAGUAGUAAUAAUAUAGUACAGUAUUUGAAAGCAUACCUAGCUUACGCUCGGACCUUAAUAGCAUGGAAUGCGUAAAAUCCUGUGUGAAUCAACAAGGACCACCUUGUAAUGCUAAAUACUCAUGGAUGAUCGAUAGUGAAAUAGUACCGUGAGGGAAUGGUGAAAAAACUCCAUCAAGGAGUGAAAUAGAACAUGAAAC